AAAAAUGGAAAACUGAUAUUGUCAAAAUGUGUUUUCCCCAUUUGAAUAGUUUCAAAUCGGACACCAGAGGUCAGCUACUUUGCUGAUUUUCUCCUAUUGCAAAUGACUAUUCUAGAUAGUUUUUUUGACGUUUCCAAUGUGUCAUCCCGUGUAUCAAUUUUUUUCAUUUUUGCAGAAAAUGAAGCUUAUUAAAAGGGCAUUUGACCGUAAAAAACUGGUGGGGUUACAAUGGCUUUUUAACACGUUGACUGCCGCAAUGUUAAAAAAAAGUGAGGUGUUCCAGCCAAAACUUUUUUUCUUUUUUCUUACACUAUCUUAUCUUUUCAAAGCUGCUGACAAUUUUUAUUUACAAAAAUUAUUUGUUUAUAACAAUAUUUUGAAUGAGACUCACCUUUUGUGUCACGUGGCCUCAAGGGUUAUUAUUACCUUAAAAGCCGCGAGUACCCAACGUGGUUCCUCGCAACGUCUGGACUCAACUUGUCUUAACUAGAAUUCCUGACUGAUGCUGGUUCGUGGUUACUUGUUAGUAAUGUCAGUACAGUGUCUCUGAACUGACAUACAUAUUUUUGUAUCUGUUUAUGUUGAAAAAUUAAAAAAAUGAGUUUCGAAGAAGAGCAAAAGCGUUUGCAGCAGCUAUGGCAGUUAGGAAUGUUUGUCUGACGAAGAUGACAAUCAAAGUUUGUUUGGUGAAUCCUCCGAUGAAUACGUUCCGAGUAACGAAAACGAAUCUGACGAAUUCUCCGAUGACUUCGAUAGGACACCUAUACAGAAGCGUCCCAAAAUUGAUAAUAUCACUGUCAAUGCUCGAAAUGUGCCAAAACCAAGUUGUUCAAGUGUAUCAGACAUAAGUGACUCGGUAUUACAAACAAUUGAGCGAGUUAUUGAGGAAAAUGCGUGUGUUAGCAGCAGUGAUGAUGAAGAGGUUCCAGAUGAUGACAGUCUUACUUGGGAUCGCGUAACAGGAUUAAACCUGAAGAACUUUGUAUUCACAGAACCCAAUCCAGGAAUAAGUGCCGAAAUCUAUGAAAACUACUAUAUAAAAUCACCACUUGAUUUUUAUGAAUUAUUUUUGGACGAAAAUAUUCUCAUUAUGAUGGUAACUGAAACAAACCGAUAUGCAGCUCAAUGUAAAGCUAAACAAAAUGCACCUAAAGCUAGAAUUCGAGAUUGGCAUAAUACAGAUGUUGAAGAAAUGAGAAAAUUUAUUGGUGUCUUAUUGUGGAUAGGACUUAUUCAAUACCCAAGCAUUGAAUCAUAUUGGUCAAAAAUGCCAAUAUAUCAGAAUGUGAUAAAGUCUGUUAUGUCUCGAAACCGAUUUCAAAUACUACUUAAAAUGUGGCAUUUUAGCUCUCCAGUUGCCACAGAGUUUACACGGCAGCGAGACGCAAACGUUGGCUCACACAGCGUUUCAGACGAAUAGUUACCGAGACAUACAUGUUGUGUCACAUGGCCGAUAAUGGCAGUACAUUGAAACGCCACUUUUAUGUCUCACGGCAGUCAACGUGUUAAGGCUGUAAUGAGUAUUCUGUAAUAAUGAGUGAACAACAAAAUAUUGACAUACAUACAAAAUUUACGCAUUGAUUCGCCUAUCUGCGAUAUCGAAGUGGAAGAAAACGAUGCUUCAGAAGCCGCUUCGGAGGCUUCAGAUGAUGGUUCUGGAGCCGCUGCGAGGGCUCCCGAGGUGGCUUUUUUAAUGGAGGAAUUAAAAAAGCUCAGAGAUGAACUGAAGUCAGAGCGUAAACAAAAAGGCCGCGGAAGAGGCCGCGGCGGAUGGAACAACAAGUGGAACAACAACAGCAAUAAGUCGCGAACAGAAAGGCGACAAGAUUUUUAUAACAGGAACCACGGCGCCGGAGACCAUCACUAUUAUGGCACCGUAAAUGCAACAUAUACCUACGACUCCAAAAAAAUAAUUAAUUUUGUAAUAUACCCAUAUGUAGAUAUUAUUAUAAUAAAUA